rnacentral:rRNA from 1 species
AACGAACGCUGGCGGCAUGCCUAACACAUGCAAGUCGAACGAGACCUUCGGGUCUAGUGGCGCACGGGUGCGUAACGCGUGGGAAUCUGCCCUUGGGUUCGGAACAACAGUUGGAAACGACUGCUAAUACCGGAUGAUGACUUCGGUCCAAAGAUUUAUCGCCCAGGGAUGAGCCCGCGUAGGAUUAGCUUGUUGGUGAGGUAAAAGCUCACCAAGGCGACGAUCCUUAGCUGGUCUGAGAGGAUGAUCAGCCACACUGGGACUGAGACACGGCCCAGACUCCUACGGGAGGCAGCAGUGGGGAAUAUUGGAAAAUGGGCGAAAGGCUGAUCCAGCAAUGCCGCGUGAGUGAUGAAGGCCUUAGGGUUGUAAAGCUCUUUACCCGGGAUGAUAAUGACAGUGCCGGGAGAAUAAGCCCCGGCUAACUCCGUGCCAGCCGCCGCAGUAAAAC